rnacentral:rRNA from 1 species
AGUAUAAUGUGGGAAUCUGCCUUUUGGUUUGGAAUAACACGGGGAAACUUGUGCUAAUACCGAAUAAGCCCUUACGGGGAAAGUUUUAACGCCGAAAGAUGAGCCCGCACUUGAUUAGCUAGUUGGUAAGGUAAAAGCUUACCAAGGCAAUGAUCAAUAGCUGUUCUUAGAGGAAGACCAGCCACAUUGGGACUGAGACACGGCCCAGACUCCUACGGGAGGCAGCAGUGGGGAAUCUUGCACAAUGGGGGAAACCCUGAUGCAGCGAUGCCGCGUGAGUGAAGAAGGCCUUUGGGUUGUAAAACUCUUUCGUCGGGGAAGAAAAUGACUGUACCCGAAUAAGGAGGUCCGGCUAACUUCGUGCCAGCAGCCGCGGUAAUACGAAGGGACCUAGCGUAGUUCGGAAUUACUGGGCUUAAAGAGCUCGUAGGUGGUUAAAAAAGUUGAUGGUGAAAUCCCAAGGCUCAACCUUGGAACUGCCAUCAAAACUUUUUAGCUAGAGUGUGAUAGAGGUAAGUGGAAUUUCUAGUGUAGAGGUGAAAUUCGUAGAUAUUAGAAAGAACACCAAAUGCGAAGGCAACUUACUGGGUCACUACUGACACUGAGGAGCGAAAGCAUGGGUAGCGAAGAGGAUUAGAUACCCUCGUAGUCCAUGCCGUAACGAUGUGUGCUAGACGUUGGAAAUAUAUUUUUUCAGUGUCGCAGCGAAA